rnacentral:misc_RNA from 1 species
AACGGUCUAUACCUGCGGUACCUGCGGAAGGAUCAUUACCGAGUUAGGGUUCCUCUCACGGGCCCGACCUCCCAACCCUGUGUCUAUCACACCUUGUCGUUGCUUCGGCGGACCGGUUUGACUCCGGUCGCGACCGCCGGGGGUGCUUCACCCCGGGAGAGCGUCCGCCGAUGGCCCAACCACAAAACUUCUUUGUACCAAAACCGGUCGUCUAAAUCAAACUUGAUCAUAAUCAAAAAA